rnacentral:rRNA from 1 species
CCUACGGGUGGCAGCAGUGGGGGAUAUUGCACAAUGGUGGAAACCCUGAUGCAGCGACGCCGCGUGUGGGAAGACGGUCCUCUGGAUUGUAAACCACUGUCCCCAGGGACGAAGAUGACGGUACCUGGGGAGGAAGCUCCGGCUAACUACGUGCCAGCAGCCGCGGUAAUACGUAGGGAGCGAGCGUUGUCCGGAAUUACUGGGUGAAAAGGGAGCGUAGGCGGGACUGCAAGUUGGGUGUCAAAUCUACCGGCUCAACCGGUAGCCGCACUCAAAACUGCAGUUCUUGAGUGAAGUAGAGGCAGGCGGAAUACCUAGUGUAGCGGUGAAAUGCGUAGAUAUUAGGAGGAACACCAGUGGCGAAGGCGGCCUGCUGGGCUUUUACUGACGCUGAGGCUCGAAAGUGUGGGGAGAAAACAGGAUUAGAUACCCGUGUAGUC